AAUCAACGCUGGCGGCGUGCCUCAGACAUGCAAGUCGAACGCGAAAGUUCCCUUCGGGGGAUGAGUAGAGUGGCGCACGGGUGAGUAACACGUAGGUAAUCUACCUUCGGAUGGGGAAUAACAACCGGAAACGGUUGCUAAUACCGCAUAAUGCAGCGGCACCUAAUGGUGACAGUUGUUAAAGCGGGGGAUCGAAAGACCUCGCGUCUGAAGAGGAGCCUGCGGCGGAUUAGCAGUUGGUAGGGUAACGGCCUACCAAGGCUACGAUCCGUAGCCGGCCUGAGAGGGCGGUCGGCCACACUGACACUGACAUACGGGUCAGACUCCUACGGGAGGCAGCAGUCGGGAAUUUUGGGCAAUGGGCGAAAGCCUGACCCAGCAACGCCGCGUGAAGGAUGAAAUCCCUCGGGAUGUAAACUUCGCAAGAACGGGAAGAAUAAGUAGGGGACAAUACCCCCUAUGAUGACGGUACCGUUUGUAAGCUCCGGCUAACUCCGU
rnacentral:rRNA from 1 species